CCUACGGGGGGCAGCAGUGGGGAAUAUUGGACAAUGGGGGCAACCCUGAUCCAGCCAUGCCGCGUGUGUGAAGAAGGCCCCCGGGUUGUAAAGCACUUUCAGUGAGGAAGAACGCCUGGUGGUUAAUACCCAUCAGGAAAGACAUCACUCACAGAAGAAGCACCGGCUAACUCCGUGCCAGCAGCCGCGGUAAUACGGAGGGUGCGAGCGUUAAUCGGAAUUACUGGGCGUAAAGCGCGCGUAGGUGGCUUGAUAAGCCGGUUGUGAAAGCCCCGGGCUCAACCUGGGAACGGCAUCCGGAACUGUCAAGCUAGAGUGCAGGAGAGGAAGGUAGAAUUCCCGGUGUAGCGGUGAAAUGCGUAGAGAUCGGGAGGAAUACCAGUGGCGAAGGCGGCCUUCUGGACUGACACUGACACUGAGGUGCGAAAGCGUGGGUAGCAAACAGGAUUAGAUACCCUAGUAGUC
rnacentral:rRNA from 1 species